rnacentral:tRNA from 1 species
UAGAAUGUACCUCAGUUGGUAGAGUGCUUGCCUUGCAUGCACAAAGUCCUGGGUUCCAUCCCCAGCUCAAA